ensembl:snRNA U6 U6 spliceosomal RNA
GUUCUCAUUCAGCAGCAUAUACACUAAAAUGGGAACGACGCUGAGAAGAUUAGCACGGCCCUUGAGCAACGAGGACACGCAAAUUUGUGAAGCGUUCCAUAUUUUU